rnacentral:rRNA from 1 species
AUUGAACGCUGGCGGCAUGCUUUACACAUGCAAGUCGAACGGCAGCGCGGGCUUCGGUCUGGCGGCGAGUGGCGAACGGGUGAGUAAUGCAUGGGAACGUGGCCAGUUGUGGGGGAUAGUGCGGCGAAAGACGGAAUAAUACCGCAUAAGAGCUGAGUGUGAAAGCGGGGGACCGAAAGGUCUCGGGCUAUUGGAGGGGCGGAUGCCGGAUUAGCUAGUUGGUGGGGUAAAGGCUUACCAAGGCGACGAUCCGUAGCUGGUCUGAGAGGACGACCAGCCACACUGGAACUGAGACACGGCCCAGACUCCUACGGGAGGCAGCAGUGGGGAAUUUUGGACAAUGGGGGCAACCCUGAUCCAGCCAUGCCGCGUGCGAGAAGAAGGCCUUCGGGUUGUAAACCCCUUUUGUUCGGGAAGAAAUCCUCUAGGCUAAUACCCCGCGGAGAUGACGGUACCGGAAGAAUAAGCACCGGCUAACUACGUG